UACCAGCACCCCGAGUGGUCGGGACGUUUAUUGGGCCUAAAGCAUCCGUAGCCGGUUCUACAAGUUCUUCCGUUAAAUCCAGCUGCUUAACAGAUGGGCUGCGGAAGAUACUAUGGAGCUAGGAGGCGGGAGAGGGCAAGCGGUACUCGAUGGGUAGGGGUAAAAUCCGUUGAUCCAUUGAAGACCACCAGUGGCGAAGGCGGCUUGCCAGAACGCGCUCGACGGUGAGGGAUGAAAGCUGGGGGAGCAAACCGG
rnacentral:rRNA from 1 species